CUCCUGAACAGUGGCAACGGGGUCCACGCAGCCCACACUUUCUAUUUCUAGAACAUUUCUGUGAGAGGCUCCUUAAAGAACAAAGGUCUUGCUCAGGGCAAACUUCAAGGAAGUCAAGGUGAGAGAAGAUGAGCAAAAUGGGCGUUGCACGUUACCUUCAAGUGGCCCAAAGAAAUUGCUUAAGAAUGCUGGUGAACUCUAGAUCGAGCAGAACUUUUCUUCUUAAAGAAGAUAUAACACUAUCGUGUCGAUACAGGUUAGAAUAUUUAUUAUUACAGUUGAGGAAUGACCAAGGCAGCUGUGGUAUGCCUCCCAGUAUUUGAAAGUCUGUCCCAUGAGGAGGGCAGAUCUGCUAUUCCUAGGACUAGCAGUGAAAUAGGCAGAAGGACAGAGCCUUUGAGGAAACUGGGCAGGCAGGACAUUUUAUGAGGAAGCAGAUUUGAGGUCAAGACAAGGAAAUAUCUUUCCUAAG
rnacentral:lncRNA from 12 species